rnacentral:rRNA from 1 species
AGCAGCCGCGGUAAUUCCAGCUCCAAUAGCGUAUAUUAAAGUUGUUGCAGUUAAAAAGCUCGUAGUUGAAUUUCGGGAUCAAUUUAUUGGUCGUGCUAUUGUACGUACUGGUAUAAUCGGUUUCUCCUUUCUGACGAACUAUAAUGCCAUUAAUUUGGUGUUUUAGGGAAUCAGGACUGUUACUUUGAAAAAUUAGAGUGUUUAAAGCAGGCUCACGCUUGAAUACAUUAGCAUGGAAUAACGGAAUAGGACGUUUGAUUCUAUUUUGUUGGUUUCUAGGAUCGACGUAAUGAUUAAUAGGGAUAGUUGGGGGCAUUAGUAUUCAAUUGUCAGAGGUGAAAUUCUUGGAUUUAUUGAAGACUAACUACUGCGAAAGCAUUUGCCAAGGAUGUUUUCAUUAAUCAAGACGAAAGUUAGGGGAUCGAAGACGAUCAGAUACCGUCGUAGUCUUAACCAUAAACUAUGCCGACUAGGGAUCGGAUGACGUUAAUUUUUAAUGUACUCAUUCGGCGCCUUACGG